AUAUGGAAAAAAUAAUUAAUUAAAACUGAGCCCCUGGGCCUCUCACAGUAUCCCAUGCUAGAGCAAACUGUGGCUCCUAACCAUUGCCCGGUCGGCCUCUGUGCCUACAGGCUGCUGGCUCUGCAGUGGGUCACACAGUG
rnacentral:snoRNA from 1 species